CGCUGAACCCUCCGGCCGGUCGAAAGUUCUUGAGCGUUCGAAUGGUUAGCGUUAAAGCCGAAAGCCGGUUGUCGGGGUUGAUAAGACUAACAGACUGUGACUAGCAUAAGUCUUCAAUACUAAUGAAUUGAAUGAUGGCAUUUGUCACUACCUCACUCUCAAUCUACCCUGUAAAGGCUAUUGCAGUCAGCUGAUAGCCUAGACUGUUAUCACUAUAUCUCAACGGGUAAUUGUCAAGAAUUGGAUGUCGGGUCUGCAGCUUUUCGUUAUAUUUGGUCGUGAGGCUUACUUUAUUAUUAUAUUAUUUAUAUUCAUAAUAACUAACUUUGAUUAUCAUAAUAUAAUUCAUUCGCUGAUGGAUCUAAUGGCUAAUGGCAAAGAACAAGGUGAAGCAAACUGCAGUAAAAGCCCAAAUCUCUAUCUAAAUACACCUACAAGCGUAUUCAUACCCAACGCAUCUGAACUAACUACCUCGAAUUCUGCUGAAGAUCAUGCCAAAUCAUUAAAUAUGAAACUCAAGAAAUAAAUUAUCUACAAAGUCAUUUCCUCUCUCUACUCGAAGACCAAAGAUUUGCGCUUUUAAUUUAUAAACAACUCAAACCAAAAUUUGAUUUCGGUAGUCUAGCGUACAAGACUACGCUAUGCCUUAACUAAACAAAAAUCAAUUCAGAAAAUUUAGGAAUGUUAUGUGAAAUGUAUAUGCAAUAAUAAAUAAAUAAAUAAACAAAAUUUUAAAUUUGAA